rnacentral:rRNA from 1 species
AUUGAACGCUGGCGGCAGGCCUAACACAUGCGAGUCGAACGGUAACAGGAAGCAGCUUGCUGCUUUGCUGACGAGUGGCGGACGGGUGAGUAAUGUCUGGGAAACUGCCCGAUGGAGGGGGAUAACUACUGGAAACGGUAGCUAAUACCGCAUAACGUCGCAAGACCAAAGAGGGGGACCUUAGGGCCUCUUGCCAUCGGAUGUGCCCAGAUGGGAUUAGCUAGUAGGUGGGGUAACGGCUCACCUAGGCGACGAUCCCUAGCUGGUCUGAGAGGAUGACCAGCCACACUGGAACUGAGACACGGUCCAGACUCCUACGGGAGGCAGCAGUGGGGAAUAUUGCACAAUGGGCGCAAGCCUGAUGCAGCCAGGCCGCGUGUAUGAAGAAGGCCUUCGGGUUGUAAAGUACUUUCAGCGGGGAGGAAGGGAGUAAAGUUAAUACCUUUGCUCAUUGACGUUACCCGCAGAAGAAGCACCGGCGAACUCCGU